CUGAACGAGCCUGGAGGAAAACCCAAUAUCCUGCUGCUUGACCUCACAUCAAAUCAAGACCAAGAAUAUCAAGUGGACUCUUACGCUGUCGGACCAUCACAACACAGAAGCAUGGGGAUGAAGGUUCGUAAAUGUUGAGCUUACAAUAACCUGGGAAAGAAACAGCUGUUCUCAACAGGAAAGGUGGGAGCUGCUUUGCACUAUGCCAGGCACAAUGAAGAAUCCCUUUCUACUCUGUUCCCAGCUCAGCUUGCCCCUGGAUGGAUUACAGAAUGUCCCAGACAUCAUUUGUAGCCCACCUUGGAGAAGAGUUUUGUUACAUUACUUCUAAACCAGUGUGAUAAAACUCUGGUCAAGAAAUCAUAUAGUCAGAAUCGCUUCUUGGGUUCGCUUAUUCUUCCUAAUUGUUGAAUCAG
rnacentral:lncRNA from 1 species